AUAAGUUACUUAAAAGCAUAAAGUGGAUGCCUCGACUCCAAAUUCCGAUGAAGGACGUAGCUAGCUGCGAUAAGCUUCGGUGAGUUGCUAAGCAAACUUUGACCCGGAGAUUUCCGAAUGGGGAAACCCAUCAGAAGUCAUGUUCUGAAACGGUAUGCUAAAUUAAUAGGCAUAUCGGGGACACCUGGUGAACUGAAACAUCUCAGUAAUCAGGGUAAAAAAAUCAAUAGAGAUUCCCUUAGUAGUGGCGAGCGAACAGGGAUCAGCCUAAACUAUAUUCUACGGAAUAUAGGGUUGUAGGACCUUAAUAUGAGCAAUAUUCCUAUUAGUCAAAUAUCCCUGGAAAGGGUGACCAUAGAGGGUAAUAGUCCCGUCGAUGAAAAUAGGGUAGAGCUCUAGAGUGUUCCUGAGUAAAGUCGGACACGAGUAAUCCGGCUUGAAUCUGGGAGGACCACCUUCCAAGGCUAAAUAAGAUUUGGAGAUCUAUAGUGAACAAGUACCGUGAGGGAAAGGUGAAAAGUACCCUUGUUAAGGGGAUGAAAUAGAACCUGAAACUUUAUGCUUAUAAAGAGUCGGAGCCUGCUUUUGUAGGUGACGGCGUACUUUUUGUAGAACGGGCCAACGAGUUAGCUGUACGGCGCUUGGUUAAAGGAGUGAUACCUGAAGCCACAGUGAAAGCGAGGGUGAAUAACCCGUUUGUGUCGUGCACUAGACCCGAAACUGAGUGAGCUACCUAUGGUUAGGCUGAAGCGACGGUAACACGUCGUGGAGGGCCGCACCAACCUCUGUUGCAAAAGGGGUGGAUAAACUGUGGGUAGGGGUGAAAAGCCAAACGAACUCAGAGAUAGCUGGUUCUCCUCGAAAUAGCUUUAGGGCUAGCCUCAUGUUAAUAGCAGUAGAGGUAGAGCAAUGUUUAGGCUAGGGGGCGAAAUAAGUCUACCAAACCUAGAUAAACUUCAAAUGCUACUGUGAAUUUCAUGGGAGUCAGACUAUGACAGCUAAGUGCCAUAGUCGAAAGGGAAACAGCCCAGAUCGCCAUCUAAGGUCCCUGAUAAAGCUUAAGUGGUAAAGGAUGUGAGAUCGUUUAGACAGCCAGGAGGUUGGCUUAGAAGCAGCCAUUCCUUUAAAGAGUGCGUAACAGCU
rnacentral:rRNA from 1 species